CUGAAGGAUACAUCCAAGCCCCGGC
rnacentral:piRNA from 1 species